rnacentral:lncRNA from 1 species
CCACUUUCCCUACCAUCUUUUCUUUUUCUUUCUCUCCAACCAAACAGCUUCACUCCUACUCUUCUUUCUCAAGUGUCACCACAAAAACCCCGGGCAUUUAGAGACAAAAGUAGGCUAAGAAAGUGGCCUUUCAGGUAGAAAAUUAUAUGCCUUGAACUUGUGUUUAUAGCUAUAUGCCAAACUGACAACUCAAAAGCAAAGGGAAGUUAUGAGGGGCAGUGUCACCUUGAACCCAACUUUAUUAUGACCGAUUACGAGUUUAUUCAAGAUGUCACCCUCCUGUUUCUUUCUUUUCAGUAACAUAUUUCCUUUUCUUCAGUAUAUAUACAGCUCCUUGCCUCCUUUUUCUAAUGCAAUCUUCUUAACCUCAACAGUUUUUGUUCAUUUUCUUCGACACUUCUCAAGUAUGUGUGUAUUCAUGCUUGAGAAUGCUUGCCAUGUGGUGCUUCUUCACUGCCUUAGACACCAUUGUCCAAGCAUUAUCAUCAUUAUUCGGUUAUAGACACUAAAAAGUAACAGGACGUUAUACAUUCAGUGUGCCUCAACAUAUAUAUAUACAUAUAUAUAUGUAUAUUAUGCAUCCAUUCAUUUUCAUAUUCAUAUAUCAUCAUGCUUGCAUUAUAUUAAUUAAAUGCAUAUUUUGCAUGCCUGGCUCCCUGUAUGCCAUUUGCAAAGCUCAUCAAGAGUCUGGUGGCCUUCGCGUAUGGCGUGCGAGGAGCCAUGCAUGCAUACUGCUGUCUUAAUCAGGGGAAAUCGAAAAAAGAGUUAGGAUUUCCAUAACAAAAUAAGCUUAGGGAUACAGGUAUCUUCUGAGAUCUCUUGGAUUAGUUCUUUUUUAUUUGUUUUUGCUUCUGAAACCGGUUUUUUUUCACAUCUUAUACUGCAGAGAAGGAGGACUCUGUGUUUCACUCUAUUUUCCUCAUUUCCUAGGAAGAAUUCAACUAGCAAACUGUAAUAUGCUUUUUUUUUUAUAUGAAAAGAAUGAAAAGUUGUAGUGGGAAAAUGCUAUUCUUCUCUCUCUAUCUUUUUUCUUUGUACAAUAUUUUCAGGACCGUAUAGGAACUGUUACAAUGUUAUGGAGAAACAGUGAUUAGUUCUCCCAAAAGAAAAAUAGAGGCAGCAAGUCAAGAACAAGAGCUCAGGGAGCUUGAGGUGCUUUCCAUGUUUGAGGCUUCAGUGUAGUGGCUCCGAAACGUUGUCUUGUGUCCCAACUUGAUGUUCAUCAGAUCAGCAACAAGACCAGGUUGUGAAAUCUGAACUACUCCUAUGUCUAUCUCAUUAGUCAACAUUUUCAGGGCUGUUGACAUUUCUGGUCGGAACCUGGCUGUUUCUUGAACGCAAAGGAGACCCACCUUGAUGUAUCGAACCGCAUCUUCUUCAGGGUAGUUCAUACCUAGUACAGGAUCCACCAAUUGCAGAAGCCUGUUAGCCCUGUAUAGGUCCCAUGCCUGCAUGUUUCACACACAUUAUGAAGUCAACAAGUUACUAAUUUAC